AUUGAACGCUGGCGGCAUGCCUUACACAUGCAAGUCGAACGGUAACAGGUUAAGCUGACGAGUGGCGAACGGGUGAGUAAUGUAUCGGAACGUGCCUAGUCGUGGGGGAUAACUACUCGAAAGAGUGGCUAAUACCGCAUACGACCUGAGGGUGAAAGCGGGGGACCGUAAGGCCUCGCGCGAUUGGAGCGGCCGAUAUCAGAUUAGCUAGUUGGUGGGGUAAAAGCCCACCAAGGCGACGAUCUGUAGCUGGUCUGAGAGGACGACCAGCCACACUGGGACUGAGACACGGCCCAGACUCCUACGGGAGGCAGCAGUGGGGAAUUUUGGACAAUGGACGCAAGUCUGAUUCAGCCAUGCCGCGUGCGGGAAGAAGGCCUUCGGGUUGUAAACCGCUUUUGUCAGGGAAGAAACGAGUUUCUCUAAUACAGAGACUUAAUGACGGUACCUGAAGAAUAAGCACCGGCUAACUACGUGCCAGCCGCCGCGGUAACAC
rnacentral:rRNA from 1 species